rnacentral:rRNA from 1 species
UACGGGGGGAGCAAGCGUUGUUCGGAUUUACUGGGCGUAAAGGGCGCGUAGGCGGUCAGCACAAGUCAGUUGUGAAAUCUCCGGGCUUAACUCGGAAAGGUCAACUGAUACUGUGCGACUAGAGUGCAGAAGGGGCAACUGGAAUUCUCGGUGUAGCGGUGAAAUGCGUAGAUAUUGAGAGGAACACCUGCGGCGAAGGCGGGUUGCUGGGCUGACACUGACGCUGAUGCGCGAAAGCCAGGGGAGCGAACGGGG